rnacentral:rRNA from 1 species
GACGAACGCUGGCGGCGUGCCUAAUACAUGCAAGUAGAACGCUGAAGGAGGAGCUUGCUUCUCUGGAUGAGUUGCGAACGGGUGAGUAACGCGUAGGUAACCUGCCUGGUAGCUGGGGAUAACUAUUGGAAACGAUAGCUAAUACCGCAUAAUAGUAGAUGUUGCAUGACAUUUGCUUAAAAGUUGCAAUUGCAUCACUACCAGAUGGACCUGCGUUGUAUUAGCUAGUUGGUGGGGUAACGGCUCACCAAGGCGACGAUACAUAGCCGACCUGAGAGGGUGAUCGGCCACAAUGGGAAUGAGAAAAGGCCCAGACUUACACGGGAGGGAGCAGUAGGGAAUCAUAGGCAAAGGACGGAAGUCUGACCGAGGAAAGACGCGUGAGUGAAGAAGGUUUUCGGAUCGUAAAGCUCUGUUGUAAGAGAAGAAAGAGUGUGAGAGUGGAAAGUUCACACUGUGACGGUAUCUUACCAGAAAGGGACGGCUAACUACGUG